UACGUAGGUGGCAAGCGUUGUCCGGAUUUACUGGGCGUAAAGGAUGCGUAGGCGGAUGUUUAAGUGAGAUGUGAAAUACCCGAGCCCAACUUGGGUGCUGCAUUUCAAACUGGAUAUCUAGAGUGCAGGAGAGGAAAGCGGAAUUCCUAGUGUAGCGGUGAAAUGCGUAGAGAUUAGGAAGAACACCAGUGGCGAAGGCGGCUUUCUGGACUGUAACUGACGCUGAGGCAUGAAAGCGUGGGGAGCAAACAGG
rnacentral:rRNA from 1 species